rnacentral:rRNA from 1 species
AGUGAACGCUGGCGGCAGGCCUAACACAUGCAAGUCGAGCGGCAGCGCGGGGGCAACCCUGGCGGCGAGCGGCGGACGGGUGAGGAAUACAUCGGAAUCUACCCUGUCGUGGGGGAUAACGUAGGGAAACUUACGCUAAUACCGCAUACGACCUGAGGGUGAAAGUGGGGGACCGCAAGGCCUCACGCGACUGGAUGAGCCGAUGUCCGAUUAGCUAGUUGGCGGGGUAAAGGCCCACCAAGGCGACGAUCGGUAGCUGGUCUGAGAGGACGAUCAGCCACACUGGCACAGAGACACGGCCCAGACUCCGACGGGAGGCAGCAGUGGGGAAUAUUGGACAAUGGGGGCAACCCUGAUCCAGCCAUGCGGCGUGUGUGAAGAAGGCCUUCGGGUUGUAAAGCACUGUUGUUCGGGAAGAAAUCGGGCGGGCUAAUACCCGGUCCGGAUGACGGUACCGAAAGAAUAAGCACCGGCUAACUUCGUGCCAGCCGCCGCGGUAA